rnacentral:rRNA from 1 species
GCCAAAGCCAUGUCACCCUGCAGCCCAAGACCGGUUACUCACUGAAGCUGAGCAGGGCUGAGCCUGGUCAGUACCUGGAUGGGAGACCACUAGGGAACACUAGGUUGCUGUUGGAA